rnacentral:rRNA from 1 species
CCUACGGGUGGCAGCAGUGGGGAAUAUUGGGCACUGGGCGCAAGCCUGACCCGGCAAGUCCCCUGAAGGGUAGCAGCCUUUCGGGUUGUAAACUUCUUUUGUCAGGGACGAAGCAAGUGACUGUACCUUACUAAUAAGCCACGUCUUACUACGUGCCAGCCGCCCCGGUAAUACGUAGGUGGCAAGCGUUAUCCGGAUUUAUUGGUUUCAAAGGGCGUGUAGGCGGGAAUGCAAGUCAGAUGUGAAAACUAUGGGCUCAACCCAUAGACUGCAGUUGAUACUGGAUUCCUUGAGUGCUGGAGAGGUAAGCGGAAUUCGGGGUGUAGCGGUGAAAUGCGUAGAUAUACGGAGGAACACCAGUGGCGAAGGCGGAUUGCUGGACAGUAACUGACGCUGAGGCGCGAAAGCGUGGGGAGCAAACAGGAUUAGAUACCCGAGUAGUC